UGCUUCUUUUUCUUUAAUCAUCUAAUUCUAAUUUUGACAAUCUAGUGUUAAUCGUGUAUUUAAUUAUCGGUAUAUACUCAAUUUAGGGUUCUUCGAAGUUGGAUAAUUGAACUAUUGGUUAUAGAUAAUCCUAAGUUUUCAAUCAAUUGCUAAAUUCUUCAUUUGUCGCCAUUUUAGGGUUUUCACGCAUUUGCUGAAGAAUGUGAGAUAUUCUUUCUUUUCUCCCCAAAUUCUGCACUUUUUCAGCUUGAAUAACUCAAAUUAAGUUCAAAAAAGUAUUUUAUUUGUUGGGGAAUCUUUGGUUGACAAUGUUGGGUUGUGGUUAUGAGCUCUUCCGUAGUGUUAAUUGACAAUUUCAUGGUUUUUAACCCUAGUUUAUGCAGUUCAAUGCACAGGAAAAGUAGCAAUUUUUUGCCCAAUUUUAGGGUUAGGGGAGAUUUUGGGGGGGAGGAAUCAGCGGGUUUUAGGGUUAGUGGUUCCGAAUGCGAAGAAGAAAAAGGGGCUUAAUUCGAGGAAGAAGCUAGAGCUGGUGGCGGAGGUUUUUCUUUGAGGAAGAUGGGAAUUGGCUUGGUUUAAGGGAGGAGGAUUUGGAGGAGUUUGAGGAGGAGAGUAAAAUUGAAGUUGAGGGUUCUGACAAGGGAGAGAGGGAUUCAGAGAAGGAGAAAUUCGAGGCGUGGAAGAAUCAGGCCGAGGCGCUUAUUGAGUUGAGAGAGGCUCAAGAGGGAAUUAAGAAUGAGGAGAAUAGGAAUUGGGAUGAUUGGCUUGUUUUUUAUGAGGGAAAUGGUGCUGUUAGAAGAGAAUGGGAUUAUAUUGAUGAUGAUGAUGUGAAUGAAUUGAAAGAAGAUGAUGUUGAUGGCGACCCUGAUGAGACAAUGCCUAAGAGGGGGUUAGUGAAGACUCUUGAGAAUUUUAUUCUUGGGAAAGAAGAUGAUGAUUUAUUGUAUGAAGACCGUGUUUUUCAAUUCGUUUCGAGGAAUUCGGCUAAAUUUUUGGUUGUUUUGAUAAUUGUACCAUGGGCAAUGGAUUUUCUUGUGCACGACUAUGUUCUUAUGCCUUUCUUAGACAGCCACCACCGGAAGCCGACGCACCCCCACUUCCACCAAGACCACCUCCACUACCACCGCAAGCCGGAUUUCGGACCACCACCCUACCGCCGACCUCCGACCGGAACCACCUUUUCAGCCGCGUCGUCUUGUUUAAUUUCGGAGGCCUUCCAGAAGAAAUCCAAAGAAGCAAGCACCCAAGGGAUUCAGAAGACUCUAAAUGAGCUGUACUGGGAAACUGUAGGUGGUCGCAACAAGAAGGGUCGUGUGAAGGGACUUGGCGAAGGUUCUGAGCUGUAUUAUGCCAACAGGAAGGGUAUAGGUUCCAAGUCUUCCAAGCAUUACACGCCUUCCCUUCUUUCCCAGAUGAAGGAUCAAGUGGAGCAGAGGGUGGAGCAAAGAGCAAAGGGUGCAAGCUAGGCUCAGUGAAAUGGAACUCGAGAUGGAGGCUCGAUUAGCGGAAAUAGAAAAGAAAAACCAAGAGAGGUUUGACGAGAUGAUGCGUCGAUUCUCCAACACCGACCAAUGUUCCAACAUUCCGCAUCAGCCUCGAGACCCUGACCCGGACAGCGAUGGUGCAGGGCAAGGAGAGGACUUUGUAGAAGGCGAUUUCUAGUUCCUAAAGUGGCCAAUCAACUCGUUUACUCAAGGUACAUACAAAUAUACGAAAACCUUGACUUUAGGAGCAUGUUUAAGGAUUUGGAAAAAUUUAGAAUCAUGUUAGGAAACUUGUGGAUUGGUUGGAAUUGUAUGGUAGUAAGUUUGAUUGGUGAUUAAUGUGAUGAUUGGUUUUGUUUCAUGUAUGAGAAAUGCGUAUUAAUUUAUCUUGUAAGUUUUAUUUAUGCAUUAACUUGCAAGAUGAGCUUUGAGGCAAAGGUACGUGAAUAUGUGGAAUGAAUUACUAUAUUACUCGUUCAUGAUUAUUGAAAUGGAAUGAGUAAAGGGAGAAUUAAAGUCUUAUAAGAUGAGGUUGAGGAUUGAUGUGCCUUAUGCACUUAAGGUGUUUAUACACUCAGGUAGUUAGAGGAUUCAAUACUAAAUAUUGUUUGUCACUAACAAAUCAAGAAUUGAAUCGGAAAUUUGAACUGUUUGAAUGAUUUAUGUAUGAUUGGCUGUAUUGUUUUGCAUUUGAGUCAUCACCAAGUUUAAACUUGUAAAUCACGUAAAGUGCAAGAUGGAUGAGCAAUAAAACUCUGAAUUUGUGCACAUCUAGAGUAUUGACAAAUAGGGGUUGGGGUGCAUGGGGUAUUAGCUGUGUACUUUUUAGAGGCCGUCUGAUCUACGAGUCUCUUGUUUACAAAUACUUUUUAAAACUAUAAGGAGUUAGAUGAGAUCUCAUACUAGCUAUGGCCACGGAGUCGCGCCCGUCUGCCAUUGGAUGUUUAUUGAUGUUUCCGAAAGGAGACAUGGGGUUUUUCUUUUAUUGAUGUUCCGAAAUGGAGUACAGGGAGACAACCUUGUCUAUUAUUUAAUCCAAUCAAUGAAUGUAAUGAAAUGAAUUAUAGUUAGUAAUUAGUGAAGUCUUAGUAAUGUUAACAAUUGAAGCGUGUGUUUGAGUCAAUAAUUAAAUUGUGUGUGCUGAUUGAUUUUUAGUAACAUGCUAGUGAUUCUUUGUUGUAUUUUGUAGCUUGUAUGUACAAUAAAACCAAACCACUUUGGAGAACCAAACACUCCUUGUAGUGUGAUUUUUUAUCGAUUAGUUAGUUUUCCCUCCAUUUUCAUGGUAUUACUAUAUAAUACAGUACAAAUCAAAUGCUAAUAAGUACGGCUAUAUUUUUCUCUACUCCGUAUAAACCCUUAACUUCCCGUUUCUUCUGUAUAUCAUUCCUGAUUUUAAUUUUCUCAUAUUAUUGAUUGAAUUCUGCGAAUUCUCAAACGAUUUUUGCAAAUUGCAAUAUGUUUCAGCAAUUUCAAUCAAAACAACAAUUUGAUUAUUCGUAUCGAAUUUUUUACACGAUUUUGUGAGACCAUUUUCCAAACAAAACAACAUCUUGAUGAUUUCAAGGGCAAAUUUCUUGACAGUCGAUAAAAAAUUGCUACAAAAUUCAUCAAAUUUGAUUGUUGCAAUUGUUAUUUCAAAAUUGUAGUUGUUGAUUUGCAACUGAUCAAUUGAAGAAGCAAUAAAGAAAUUUGACGAAAUGUCUAGCUUAUUGUACUCAAGAUGUUCGAUGAAAUGCCUGAACCAGUUGCACUAUCAGAAAGAGCUUAAUUUGGAAGAAAAUGGAGGAGUUUAGAGGUGCUUGGUAAGUUCCUGAAACUCAAAUUCCUGUCUUAAAAUGGAGGGAGGAGUGCAUGAACUCAUCUGGUUAUUGGUAUGCUUUAACCUUUACGCUGUAGCGUUUGACAGAUUGUUAGAUAACACUCCAUUUGUGACCAGUAUUCUUCCUGGAACUCUAUAAUAGGAGUAGUUCUGAUUGUUGAUGUCUGAGAUUAUUUCACGAA